rnacentral:rRNA from 1 species
UACGUAGGUGGCAAGCGUUGUCCGGAUUUACUGGGCGUAAAGAGCGCGCAGGCGGUCGUUCAAGUCGCGUGUGAAAGCCCCCGGCUCAACUGGGGAGGGUCACGCGAUACUGAUCGACUCGAAGGCAGGAGAGGGAAGUGGAAUUCCCGGUGUAGUGGUGAAAUGCGCAGAUAUCAGGAGGAACACCGGUGGCGAAGGCGGGUCUC